GACGAACGCUGGCGGCGUGCUUAACACAUGCAAGUCGAACGGAAAGGCCCUGCUUUUGUGGGGUUCUCGAGUGGCGAACGGGUGAGUAACACGUGAGUAACCUGCCCUUGACUUUGGGAUAACUUCAGGAAACUGGGGCUAAUACCGGAUAGGAGCUCCUGCUGCAUGGUGGUGGUUGGAAAGAUUCGGCGGUUGGGGAUGGACUCGCGGCUUAUCAGCUUGUUGGUGGGGUAGUGGCUUACCAAGGCUUUGACGGGUAGCCGGCCUGAGAGGGUGACCGGCCACCUUGGGACUAAGAUACGGCCCAGAAUCCUACGGGAGGCAGUAGUGGGGAAUAUUGCACAAUGGGCGGAAGCCUGAUGCAGCAACGCCGCGUGCGGGAUGACGGCCUUCGGGUUGUAAACCGCUUUCGCCUGUGACGAAGCGUGCGUGACGGUAAUGGGUAAAGAAGCCCCGGCUAACUACGUG
rnacentral:rRNA from 1 species